UGCAAGUCGAGCGGUAGAGAGAAGCUUGCUUCUCUUGAGAGCGGCGGACGGGUGAGUAAUGCCUAGGAAUCUGCCUGGUAGUGGGGGAUAACGUUCGGAAACGGACGCUAAUACCGCAUACGUCCUACGGGAGAAAGCAGGGGACCUUCGGGCCUUGCGCUAUCAGGUGAGCCUAGGUCGGAUUAGCUAGUUGGUGAGGUAAUGGCUCACCAAGGCGACGAUCCGUAACUGGUCUGAGAGGAUGAUCAGUCACACUGGAACUGAGACACGGUCCAGACUCCUACGGGAGGCAGCAGUGGGGAAUAUUGGACAAUGGGCGAAAGCCUGAUCCAGCCAUGCCGCGUGUGUGAAGAAGGUCUUCGGAUUGUAAAGCACUUUAAGUUGGGAGGAAGGGCAGUUGCCUAAUACGUAACUGUUUUGACGUUACCGACAGAAUAAGCACCGGCUAACUCUGUGCCAGCAGCCGCGGUAAUACAGAGGGUGCAAGCGUUAAUCGGAAUUACUGGGCGUAAAGCGCGCGUAGGUGGUUUGUUAAGUUGGAUGUGAAAUCCCCGGGCUCAACCUGGGAACUGCAUUCAAAACUGACUGACUAGAGUAUGGUAGAGGGUGGGUGGAAUUUCCUGUGUAGCGGUGAAAUGCGUAGAUAUAGGAAGGAACACCAGUGGCGAAGGCGACCACCUGGACUGAUACUGACACUGAGGUGCG
rnacentral:rRNA from 1 species